rnacentral:rRNA from 1 species
ACAGUUUGAUCAUGUCUCAGAUUGAACGCUGGCGGCAGGCCUAACACAUGCAAGUCGAGCGGAUGAUGGGAGCUUGCUCCCGGAUUCAGCGGCGGACGGGUGAGUAAUGCCUAGGAAUCUGCCUGGUAGUGGGGGACAACGUUUCGAAAGGAACGCUAAUACCGCAUACGUCCUACGGGAGAAAGCAGGGGACCUUCGGGCCUUGCGCUAUCAGAUGAGCCUAGGUCGGAUUAGCUAGUUGGUGGGGUAAAGGCCUACCAAGGCGACGAUCCGUAACUGGUCUGAGAGGAUGAUCAGUCACACUGGAACUGAGACACGGUCCAGACUCCUACGGGAGGCAGCAGUGGGGAAUAUUGGACAAUGGGCGAAAGCCUGAUCCAGCCAUGCCGCGUGUGUGAAGAAGGUCUUCGGAUUGUAAAGCACUUUAAGUUGGGAGGAAGGGCAGUAAGUUAAUACCUUGCUGUUUUGACGUUACCAGCAGAAUAAGCACCGGCUAACUUCGUGCCAGCAGCCGCGGUAAUACGAAGGGUGCAGGCGUUAAUCGGAAUUACUGGGCGUUAAGCGCGCGUAGGUGGUUUGUUAAGAUGGAUGUGAAAUCCCCGGGCUCCACCUG